GCCAUUUUUCAAUCUGUCUUCCUAUUCAAGAAAAAAAAAGCUUUCCUUCCUACUCUUGGUUCUGUAUCCAGGAUAACAGAAAUCACAUGAGUACCGAGUGCAGAAUCUGGCCCUAGAGUAAGAUUUCAAUGCUACCUCCAACAUUUAAGAGCUCCGCCAUUGGGAGCAGAAAGUAAAGUCAGAGGAUUGAGUUACUGACUGUUAUUGUGAGCAGAAAUUGCACUAGUGCUGCAGAAUAGGAGGAAGAGAGACAGACAUCAAGAAGAAGGACAAGAGAAAGAGAUGGUGUAUUAGAAGGGCCAUAAGGCGUACUGGGGCAGAAACUGCAAGACAACACCUUGAACACUAGUCUGGGAUGACUAUGCAACCUCUGAAGCCGUCAAAGGUCUAUGGGCCAACAGCCAUGUCCUCCAGACAAGCUUUCACACCCUAGCAGCGCCUCCAAGGAGGUAUUUCACUCUGGACAGCCUCAAUGCAAGGAAAUAGGAAGUGACUACCUACUUCACAACUUCCAUCUUCCAGUCUCUGCUCACCUUUUACUUAGGACAAAGAAGCACUGCUUAAAUGAAUUCCAGUCUGGAUAUUCCAUGGUCCAUUAAACAAAAUAUUUAUUAUGCAUCCACUGAAUAAAUUUAUGUUGCAGGCAUUGCUCUAGACUCAAGGAUAGCAGAGCAAACAAUAGGAACUUCAUGUGUAGUGGGAAGCCCAAGAAGAAACAAGUAAAAAAUGACAUGAACGAGUUAGUGGUGAGAAGAAGAAAACAGAACAGGAUGAUGUGCUAGACAGUCAAGUGGACAGUGGUAUGAAGUAGGGUGUGAUUCGAAAGGUCUUCCUGGGGUCUGGAGGCCAACAUCUGAUGUCAGACCUAAAUGUCCAGCAGUCAGCUACAUUAAUAUCAGGAAGAGCAUUCAAGGAAGAAGGAACAGCGGAGUAAAGGUCCUAAAAAAGAGCUUUACAAUCUAGGAAGAAAAGGAACGGCCCACAAGGAGCUGAAGUCCAUAAAAUAUUGUAGGG